rnacentral:lncRNA from 1 species
UAUAAGAUUAGCUAAUUGGAGAAUUAGUGAUGUAGUCAAAAAAUUUGUUUCAUCCAUAACGAAUAUUAAGACUUACAAUGUUUGUGUUUAUUGCCAACAUGCUAAAGAACGUAAUGGGUCAUACAUAAUAAGACAAUUGUGAAAUAUUGAAAUUAGGACAAUUAUGUUUGACUUAAUUUGUUUUUAGUAUGACCAAAAAUAGAGAAAAUAAAACAAGAAAGAGUGACUUUCCUUGUUUAGACUAUUCGACCAAGCAUGAGAUAUUUAUAGAAAUCUACAUGUCUUGCAUUAAACCUAAUAUGGUUGAAUAUCCCUCUUAAAAAAAAACAUUAAAUUGACACCCCUCUUGUAAGAUACAAGGCAUACUUGAUGCAAAAAUAAGCUAAGAAAAAGUCUAAGCAAAAACUUGAGAGAAAAUAAGAGGUUUUGUAAGCACUCACCAGCUAGAGUAUGAUUUGUGUUCUUCCCUACCUUAUAGAAGGUUCUUUCACAAGAGUUCAUGUAGAUCACCAUUAGAGGCUAUACACUUGGUUGUACAUCGAAGCAUAACAGUGCCUUCGAAGAUCACGACAACACUUAAGGUACCACCUACGACUCUUAAAUCAAGAAAGGGGCGCAUCGGUUUGUUUACUUAAAAAGUUAGCAGGCGAAGAACUUUGAUUAUCAUAAAAAAGAGUUACGGAAUUUCUAGAGAUUCAGCCCCUAGAGACUAGCUAGCCUUCCUUGGCUUGGGUGGAUUGCUUUGAAUAGAAAUGCUUUCUCUGGUUCACUGAGGUAGUUCGACUAGCUGGAACGUAGCGAAGGUUCAGGUUCAAUUUUGAUUAGUCAUCCUAUCAUAACUAAAUAAGUCAUAAAUCUUGAGUGCCACCAAUUUAGCUCUUGGAGGGCUAGUUGGCUUAAUUUAACCAACUAACAACAUUAUGAACUCUGAGUGGCUAGUUCUAUCUCGUAUAAGAAAGUCCAAGUACAAAAUAAGUAAUAUUGGAGUCGGAAUCCCAUAACAUCGUUAACCCGAUUCACUUGAUGUACAAGUACAACCGCCAUGAGAUCCACUCGGCUCAUUGGCUCUGAGACCACGGAAAAUAGCUAAGAAAUAGCAAAUAAUGUGUUAUGACACAAUCUGUCCUAAAUCUUAAAGUAAAAAGAAAAAACCUUUCAACGUCCAAUUGUUCACCUCAUUACAGGACAGUGUGGUUCCCCUUCUAAGCCUAAGGUAUGUGAAACUAACUAGCAUGGUUUCGCUAGGAGAUCUUUCCUUUAUCUUUCUUGAUACGAAAGAAAGACCCCGUUAGCCUUAACCUUUCUUUGGUUGUGAUCGUCACCUCGUAAGCAAAACCAAAGAAGCUAACUACUUUCCCGAUGCACUUCCAUUCACUCGUAUUUUAAUUUAUUCAGUCCUCUCACAUUCAUUCAAGUUGCUUCACUCAUUGUGCUCUAAGACUUGAGGAAAAUGGUUCAACUACCUUUUUCAUUAAUGAUAGGGACCCAAAAAGAUAUAAAUAUACAAGUGAAAUCAAUAUGUGAAAAAGAUAAGUUAAAAAAGUCACCUAAAGUCAAAUUUACUGAUAACUUAUAAGCCCAAGCACUUUUUUUCCAUUCAUAAAAAGAUCCAAUCAUCAAAAUUAAAAAAAAAAAGGCUAUCAUAGACCAAAACCUAAAGAAACCCAUCUUGUUGUGAAAUAUUGGCAAAGGAAAGGAAAAGGUUACUUCCAAAUCAAAGAUUAUAAAUAAAAUAGAAACAAGAUAAAAUCAAAAGGACUCCCAACAAGUAGGAUCAAGGAAAUUAGCAGGACUGAUCACUAAAAAGAUAAAAAUAAGUGCAAAUUCUGACAUCACCACUGCAAACUUAUCAGUCAAUUCUCCAGUUUUCACCUUAUUUUAUAUCAAGAAGAAAAGAGAAAAGAGGGCUGAAAGAGAAAGAAUAAAAAACAAAAGAACAAAAAAUUAAAAAUUAAAAAUUUUAAUAAAAAUUUAUUUUUAAAAUUUUAAAAACUAAAACAAUUAGAACUUUAAGUUUUUAAUUUUACAAAAGAAAAGGAAAAAUAUAAAAUUGUUUAUUUUUAUUUUUAAAAGUUUUCAUUUUUGAAAAAAAAUUAAUUAAAUAAUUAUUUUAAAGUUUGUAUUUUAAAAUUAAAAAAAUAACAAAUAAGCUCAUGCCACAAGUAUAUCUUAAUUAUUAAAUUCAAGAGAUGAUAUGACAUUUUUUUCGCAAAUGGCAUGUUAAACAAUUUUUUAAUACAAAUAUCAUAUUAAAAAGAUUUUUAUGUUACAAACACUAAAUAUUACAUUAACUUUUUUUGUUUUUAUGAAAUUUGGGAGUAAGCAAGUCUUUUUAAAAAAACCAAAGUAUGAGGUAAAUUUAAAAUGUUUUGUCCCAACUUGCCUAUAUAUAAAAAUAUAUAUUUUAUUAUUUAUUUAAUUUUAUAUUUAUAUAUAUUAUAAUAAUAAAAUUAUUAUGUAAUAUUUUAAUUUAACAGAUUAACUUAAUAAAAAAUACUACAUUUAUAUACAAUUAAUCUCUAAUUUUGUAUUAAAAACUAAUAUUUUUAUAAACACGAUACUAAAUUAUAAUAAUUGAAUUAAUUUCAAAUUAAAUUAUACCAAUGUACAUUAAAGCCAAGAGAUCAUAUUUGUUGCAUAAAAUGAUGAUUAGAUAAAAUAAUAAUAAUUUUAUAUUAAGUUUAAUUUGUAUCUAAAAAAAUUAAUCAUCCUCUCAAAACAAAAUAAUUCAAUUAUUUCACAAUGAAAAGGAUAAUUCAAUCCUCCUGAAUUAAAAAAGAUUAUUUUCAAUUUAUAAGAUUAAACUUACUUGUCUUAUUAUAUCUUUAAAAAUUACAUUAACAAUUUAUAUUAUAUAAACUUUGAAAAAAUAUAAUUUUAACUAAUAAAUAAAUUAUCUCAUCUUACUCUUUCCAUGCAUCAAACAUAAUAUAAAAUAAUAUUAUUUAAUCUAAUCUUAUUCAUAAUAUCAUCUUAUCUUAUAUUAUAAUUUAUAUCCCUAACACAUUCUAAGUUCCCUAAAUAUCUAACAGCACACAUUGGAUUUAAUUGCAAUUUAUGAGUAAAUCAAAUGUCAAUUAAAUAUCAUCAUUCUUAAGCCAACGUUACAUUACAUCCAUCAAACUUUCGCAACAAAAUUUUACUCUUAUCAAAUGCCUGUGACUGAAUGCUAAUGUCAAACAUAAUUCACAAAACCCAAAAUCGCAUUUUCCAAAAUUAGACGAAAAAAAAUUUGUACGGCUACGCUAACUUAAAUCUAGAAGCAUUUCCUCAGAAAAAAGGGCAGGGAUGAGAAUACCAUACACAGACGCCGCAUGUGAAACACUACAUAAUCAUUUCUGUUGGCAACUGCACUGUGUUUGUGUUGCACUACAUAAUUCCCUUCCUUUUACAAGAAUGGCUUUUGAUGGCAAGUUAAAGAAAAAUUCAUAAAAAGAUUGUUUUUAUUUCGCUUUUAAAGAGGUUCAAGUGCUCCACUUUUUAGUCUCUCCAUCCGCGCUUGAAGCCCAGACAACGCCUUCUCAUCCAUUGGAAGUAUGCCUUCUUGUGGAGGAUUCUCAAUACCAGGAUGAUCAAAUGCACGAGUCUGAGUAGAAAGUCCAAGAUUUAUGCUUUCAUUUACAGACAUCAAAGACCGUGCUCCAUAAUCAAUGUUCCCAGCAGCUGCCGCUAGCUGCAUAGUCUUCAUCCUUUCUCUGAUCGUG